UUAUGACGUAACAAUCAACUUACGAAGCAGGUUCUUCUGUUACGUCAUCACUGCUUCGUGACGUCACACGUAGCCUAAAACAACCAUUGUACGUAACAAUGCAUAAUGUGAUUAACAAUACAUUCUUACUCACCUAUUCUUUGAUCUUCUUUCUUCACGCGUAUAUACCGCCGCAAAAAGAAAUCGAAUCGCGUCGACGCAAAGCGUGUAUGGGGCCCCAUGAAAAAAAGUCGCGAAACGCAAGCGUCGAAGAAACCGUAUCGCGUCGCAAAUUACGCUUCAAGAUAUUACAAUAGUAGUAGUAACAAUAAUCAUAAUAAGUUAAGGGUAGUAAUAGCAUAGUAGUUAAGUUAGUAAUACAAUAUUAAUGCUACUAAUAAACCUUCCCUCAAAGUCUUGAACCAGAAAUACAUGGCUGCUACUAAACUUGCUGGUGAGAAACUAACUUCAUCUAAACUGUAACGUGGUGUAAAUACCACGGGUUGUAAGGACAGCGUUUUAUGCGAGAGGCAAUCAACGAAAAGCGGGGAGGCGUAAUUUAGGCUCGUGACAAGCUUUAAACCGCUCGGUAGAGCUAGUGAGCAACACAUGAAACAAUUUUAGUAUAUUCCCAUUAGUAAUUAGUAGUUUGGAAUAUAUAACAAGUUAAUUUUGUCGUGGGUUUAUCAUUGCGACCUUAUACUCCUAAAAUACUAACCAAACAGUAUAAAUAAGUUGCAUUCAUUCAUUCAUUCAAGCUGCGUAUAUACAUAUCUGCUGCACUCUCUCUUUUUAGAAUUAGAAAAAAGCAAAUUCAGUUUCGAAAUAAACGGGAUGGGUUAAAGUUUUUAUGCAUAAUAACAACUGUAUACGUCAUAUUUGUUCUCGAAUGUUUACAUUCUAGUAAAUCUAUUGUUUACGUUUAGUAUUUAAACAAUGGAUCAACGUGUAGAAGUCGGUGUGACGCUAACCGACCAAUUCGUUUCUUGUUUGCCGGAAUAUUUCGAAAUUGAUGCCGAAAAUAAAAUACGUCAUGACAUGAAGAAAGUGAACGUGUUUUCUGAAACCAAAACGUUUGCUGACUCUUAUAAAGGCGAGGUUCUGGUUGAAAACAUAUCCGAGUUUUACACCAUUCGUGACAAGUUAUUGACAUUGCCAACAUUUAUUGAAGUUUAUUUAAACAAAUCUAAAAGCUCGGGAAAUACAACAUACAUUACAAAAGGUAAAUUCAUUGUAUACCUUAACACCACGCAUCCUGCAAUUCAACAACAAUUAAUUAAGGGAAAUAUUGGGAGAAGCGGAAGUUUUGAUAAAACAAGAAAAACAUUUUGCAUUAGAGAUAUGUUUGGAUGAAUUGUUAAAAUGUUGGUACAAAGCGAACUUCCCUGACAGUGAAGGUUCCUCAUUCGAAGCUGUGGGAGCGAACAUCUGCUUGACAAACUUUAGUCGUCGCUUUCAUGAAUGCUACAACCCCCUUUUGUGGUUGGGGUGUUUGCCUGUCAUGCUUCUAUGUGGGACCCCAUACUGUAUAUAUAGAGCCAUGAAGUGCAUCGAUGUCGAGCGCAAGUUACGCGGUUCGGUCGUUUAUAUUGAAGGCGUGAAUCAACAAGAACGCGACAGAUUUCAUCAAAUAUUACGACAAGCUUACAUAGAUGGAUUGAACUCAACAAUUCAACAACCCCCACCUUAUACUAUGACAUCACAACCAAAUAUUCAACAACAAUUAUAAUAACAUUACGUAACAAUCAACUUUUGCCCUGCCAUAAUCGUUGUACUUAAUUGCCUUAAUAGUGUUUUUAUGUUGUUUAUAUUCUUUCUAUGUUACCUCCUUCAUACACAACCUUGCCAUUUACGCUGGGGUAAGAUGGGACGCCUUUGGCAAAUAUUAUUCAAAUAUCCUGAUCGUGUUUUAAACAAUUAACAACGAUCUGUGGAAGUUGUGAGGAUAUGGUUUUUUAAUUCCUUGUUCUUUGUUUACUACCAAAUGAGAAGAGAAAACAGAAUUAAAAGGUGUCACAUCUUCCUCACCUUUAACACAUAUGCGUGUGAAUGGUCUCCUUCCCCUCACCAACAAGCGUGAUGGUUUACCCACAUAUGUGUAACUCUUGAGUGAGGUCAUACAGCAUGGCACAAAUGGCAUUCACAAUACAUUUGCUUGGUGAAAACACGCUCUGUGUUUUGUGAUGUUUUAUUACGAAAGUAAACUAGCCAAUUAUUAAACAGCCAAGUAAUGUUUCUGCUGAG